rnacentral:lncRNA from 1 species
AAAGAAAAGAAAUGAGAAAAGAAACACCUCUGCAAGUGCCAUGAGAAUAUUUUCAGAAUGGUUGAACUAAAGAGAAAAGAUGUACUCUGGAGAAAAGAGGGUCAAAAGCGGGCCACGGGACCCACAGCUCCAAGAAAGUCAGCGCCGGAUGUCUGACCGACCUCAAGAUGUACCCUGAUACCACCAAGUUCCUGCUUCCCCUUGUAGUCGCCAAAAGAAAAAUUUCCGCUGCCCCAUCCCUCCUGUUGAGAAGUACUUCCUCUCUUUCUGCUGCCCCAUCCCUCCUGCUGAGGUGCAUAUCCUCUGCCCCAUUCCUCCUGCUGAAAGGCACUUCCCCUUUUGCUUGUGUAUUUAAACCUUGGGCCUG